rnacentral:rRNA from 1 species
UACGUAGGGUGCGAGCGUUAAUCGGAAUUACUGGGCGUAAAGGGUGCGUAGGCGGUUCGUUAAGUCUGUCGUGAAAUCCCCGGGCUCAACCUGGGAAUGGCGAUGGAUACUGGCGAGCUAGAGUGUGUCAGAGGAUGGUGGAAUUCUCGGUGUAGCGGUGAAAUGCGUAGAGAUCGGGAGGAACAUCAGUGGCGAAGGCGGCCAUCUGGGACAACACUGACGCUGAAGCACGAAAGCGUGGGGAGCAAACAGG